GGUGAGGGAAUGAUGCAGUUGAACAGGCCAAAACCUAACCGUACUCUUACUGUGGCUCAGCACUAUAGAUCCAGUUGCUCUUUCUGAAAUCUCUGAGGAUUCCAAACCCACGGAAAUCAGUGACAGUACUGUGGACCUUCUCGACCCAUUCCCUGUGGACACCAAGAGCUCCCCAGCCCCUUCACGCCCACAGACAUCCCCAGAAAGCGAGCAGAGGAUGGAGAGCAUGGAGGGUGGUGCUCUGGAUUCCCUUGCAGAUACUGUUAUUCCUUUCAACACAAACACAAGUGACAGUGCUGUGGACCUGUUCGACCCAUUCCCGGUGGAAGCCACCAAAAGCUUCACAAAGCCAGCUGAUCCCGUUCCAGUCAGGACUGUUUCCAUCAAGAGGUGGGCUCCUGAGUGUCUCUAGUUAUAUU
rnacentral:lncRNA from 1 species